rnacentral:rRNA from 1 species
UAAGACGUAGGAGGCGAGCGUUAUCCGGAAUUAUUGGGCGUAAAGGGCGAGUAGGCGGCCGUCUAAGUCUGUGAUGAAAUCUCCCGGCUCAACUGGGAGGGAGUCACAGAAACUGGAAGGCUUGAGGGCAGCAGAGGGAGGUGGAAUUCCCGGUGUAGUGGUGAAAUACGUAGAUAUCGGGAGGAACACCAGUGGCGAAGGCGGCCUCCUGGGCUGCACCUGACGCUGAGGCGCGAAAGCGUGGGGAGCAAACAGGAUUAGAUACCCUGGUAGUCCACGCCGCAAACGAUGGACACUAGGUAUGGGGGGGUAUCGACCCCCUCCGUGCCGAAGCUAACGCUUUAAGUGUCCCGCCUGGGGAUUACGGCCGCAAGGCUA